CUCAGGUGUUGGAAGGAGAGGCACCACAAUAGGAAUACAAAUAAAUCAAGAAGAGGAACUGCCCCUUGCUGCAUCCAGCCCCUGCCCCCCACUGCUCUCCAUCACUGCUGGUGUCAAGCAGUUAAUUUACAAGCCCAGCACUUUACAAAGCCCCUGGAGCACAAACUGUCCCUUUCUCACGCAACAUCAGCUCCCCAGAAGAGCCAGCUGAGUCUCUGGGUCACCCUUCUCCUGCCUUUCCCAAGGCAACUUCAGCCCUACUCCAAAACUACCCGAGUAUUUAUCUGGGGACAAGUCAGAUCCCUUGCAGCAGAAUGCCAAAGGCUUUGGAAUAAGCCCAGGGUGCAAAGCACCUCUGCUCUAUGCCCUGUGCCUGCUUGGGGAUGCAACAUUCAAUAGGCAAAAAAUGAUGAAAACCCCACAAGUGGCUGCAGCAAGGCCAGCAGCAUCCAAAGUACCGUGCCAGAGCUGGGCAGCGAUAGGGCAGCGCAGGACAAACCAAACAGCACUGGGGAAAGAAACCAGCUUGUGGAUCAGAAAGCUAAAGGCGGUGUAACUCUCACAUGGCUUUUUUUAUUUCCUCCCUCCCACCACCUCCCUCCCCUCCUCCAGUCUGUUGCACCGGAGCUGUCGGCCAUGCUGUUCCAGUUCAGGGGCUCCUGCAACAGAAAAGAUCAGCUGUUGGAGAACCCAUGGAAAGCCCUGGGGGAGAGCCAUGGCCGCAAGCUGGUAUCAAUACAUUAAACAGCCACGCUGGAAAAGUGAAAUUGAUUCAAGGCCUUCAGUGCUCCCUGCCAAAAAAAGCCUCCUGAAAGGAUCUAUUCUGUAUUGAAUUACAGUCUGGAAAAGUUCAAUAGGUUAUUGUACAAACAGAGAGCAAAAGCUCGUCAACAACAGAGCAAGAGUGAUUGUGAGGCUCCUUUGUGCUUGCCAGCCCUGAGCCCCUCACAAACUCGGAU
rnacentral:lncRNA from 1 species